UACGUAGGGUGCAAGCGUUAAUCGGAAUUACUGGGCGUAAAGCGUGCGCAGGCGGUUUUGUAAGUCUGUCGUGAAAUCCCCGGGCUUAACCUGGGAAUUGCGAUGGAGACUGCAAGGCUAGAAUCUGGCAGAGGGGGGUAGAAUUCCACGUGUAGCAGUGAAAUGCGUAGAGAUGUGGAGGAACACCGAUGGCGAAGGCAGCCCCCUGGGUCAAGAUUGACGCUCAUGCACGAAGGCGUGGGGAGCAAACAGG
rnacentral:rRNA from 1 species